UACGAAGGGGGCUAGCGUUGUUCGGAAUUACUGGGCGUAAAGCGCACGUAGGCGGCUACUUAAGUCAGGGGUGAAAUCCCGGGGCUCAACCCCGGAACUGCCUUUGAUACUGGGUAUCUCGAGUCCGGAAGAGGUGAGUGGAAUUCCGAGUGUAGAGGUGAAAUUCGUAGAUAUUCGGAGGAACCCCAGUGGCGAAGGCGGCUCACUGGUCCGGUACUGACGCUGAUGUGCGAAAGCGUGGGGAGCAAACAGG
rnacentral:rRNA from 1 species